GAGGGUAGAGCUCAGUGGUAGAGCUCAUGCUCAGCAUGCACGAGGUCCUGGGUUCAAUCCCCAGUACCUCUA
rnacentral:tRNA from 1 species